CAAUUAAACCAUUUCCAGACGAUAACUUGAGAACACUCCCGUCUCUAGAUUUGCCAUAGUAAUAAUGCUUUUGCCAUGGAAUUCCAUGGAGUUCCAUGGAAAAAGCCUGGAAAUCCGUGGAAUAUUGAAAUUCUCCAUGGACAUUGAAUGGAACAGUAAGUUUGCCAUGGAUUUCCAUGGAUUACAGCCAAAAUAUUGAUCAAUUUCCAUGGAAACAGGAGCUUUUGCCAUGGAAAGUUGGACUUAGUAAAAUUUUGGGAUGGAAAAUAGCACAGAAAAUAACUUAGAAAAUUUUUGCGAUAGAAAUUGAUGGAAACUGUGGUCUUAGAAUUUUUUGGAGGUAUUUCUUGUGAACAUAGAAUAUUUUAAUGGAUUAGUAUGUUUUAUGACCAAUAACUACAACUAACUUAAUUAAAUAGGUAAAACAACUAAUGGAAUUACAGUAAAACCUGUCUUAAGAAGCCAGCCAAGGCAGUAGGUAAAAGUGGCUGCUUAUGGCAGAUGGCUGCUUAAUGCAGGUAAUUUAUAGCAUGAAUAACCAUUUUGGAAAAUGAGACACUGGCUGCUUAAGACAGGUUGGCUGCUUAAUAGAGGUGACUGCUAAAGUAGGUUUUACUGUAAAACAUUUAUUGUAAUGCAACGUAUCAUAUAAACUCACCUUGCAGAUAGAUUCAUUUUGAACUAAUCUUUAAAAAAAAAAUUGAAAUAUCAUGACUUUUUCUCCUAGGAUAACACCAAAAAAGAACAGCACUAAAUUUUACAAUUCUUUAUACCAACAUUCAAUAAAAGUUACCUGCCCAAGGGAUUCUUAGUUAAUCAAGUAAUAAAUUAUUUGGUUCUUUUAAUCUUCUGUAGUGUACCUAUUGCUUGUCUCACAACAGGAGAUUAUCCCAGACUGCAUGAUAAGAUCUUGUCUGCUUUAUAUUUAGAAACUCAUAACAAGAGAUCAACCAAUGAAAAUAAAGUCUGUGAACUACUUCUGGGGGCUGUAAUUGUACCCCAAAAAGUAAUCCUGGACUUUUUUCUGUUUAAUAUCAGGGUUAACUUCAAAAAUAAUAAGUAUGUAAGUGGAAUAAAAUCAACCUGUGGUACAAAAAUAUUUUUAACAUCCCAGAUGUAUCCUCCAAUAGCUGACUGUAAAUGACACAUUUGCCCAAGAAUAUAUCUAAAUUUCAAAUCUACAUAGGAAGUUCUUUGUUUGAGAGCAGGAUGGAGUUAUUUUACUGUGUUUACAUGCAGCUUGGAAGUUAUCAAUAACUAAAAGAAUACACCAGGAGUAUAUAAACAGCAUACAGUAUGAAUGAAUGAAUGGAGAUAAUUCAGUUUAGUGACCCAAUGUAUUGUGUUCAGAGAAGGCUCCAUCCAAGUUCCAACAAUUCAAAGAUAUGUUAAUGCAGUGAGGCAAAUGAUGGCUUUGUGGCGGUUAAUGAAAACUACAUGGUAUUUUAAACUGAUGGUGGCGAAGAGUGACAGAAAAUUUCUCAACCAAUAGUUACAUUUAGUUGAAAGUGAUGGUAUAAUCUUAUACCGACUAUACUGAAUUAUAACAAACAGUGGAAAACAUUGAUAUACUACAAUGACAGUGGAUCUCUAUAGAAACUGGUGACAUUUUAGCUCCAUAUUGUUUGUUCUAUUUUCUGUCACCUAGUUAAGAAAUGUCAAAAUUCAUAAGCAGUUUUGUUAUACUACAGACUAUUAUGAAAUUAUAAAUUAAGAUCUGACAUGCAUAAGUGUUUCUGAUUUUCAUUUCAGUCCAGUUCUGUCACCAACAAGUUUCCAUGGUAUUUCCACGGAUUUCCGCAGUUACUUGCCAUGGCAAGCCGUCUGAAUACUCCACGGAUUGCCAUGGCAUUUCGCUGGUUUCCACGGUUAUCUGUGGUGUACCAUGGAUAGCCAUGGAUUUCCAUGGAAAGCCAUGGAUUUCCAAAGAACCCUGUGGCAUUCCAUUGAAUUAAUGCAGUGAGGCAAAUGAUGGCUUUGUGGCGGUUAAUGAAAACUACAUGGUAUUUUAAACUGAUGGUGGCGAAGAGUGACAGAAAAUUUCUCAACCAAUAGUUACAUUUAGUUGAAAGUGAUGGUAUAAUCUUAUACCGACUAUACUGAAUUAUAACAAACAGUGGAAAACAUUGAUAUACUACAAUGACAGUGGAUCUCUAUAGAAACUGGUGACAUUUUAGCUCCAUAUUGUUUGUUCUAUUUUCUGUCACCUAGUUAAGAAAUGUCAAAAUUCAUAAGCAGUUUUGUUAUACUACAGACUAUUAUGAAAUUAUAAAUUAAGAUCUGACAUGCAUAAGUGUUUCUGAUUUUCAUUUCAGUCCAGUUCUGUCACCAACAAGUUUCCAUGGUAUUUCCACGGAUUUCCGCAGUUACUUGCCAUGGCAAGCCGUCUGAAUACUCCACGGAUUGCCAUGGCAUUUCGCUGGUUUCCACGGUUAUCUGUGGUGUACCAUGGAUAGCCAUGGAUUUCCAUGGAAAGCCAUGGAUUUCCAAAGAACCCUGUGGCAUUCCAUUGAAAUGCAUGGAACUG
rnacentral:misc_RNA from 1 species